GGCGCUCGGACAGCGACCCCAGGUCAGGCGCGGCCACCCGCUGAAUUUAA
rnacentral:rRNA from 2 species